GGUGCAGCUUGUGGCUAAAGUGACAGGAAGAUGUAGGAGCUUUCAGUCUUGGAUGAGGAUUCGAACUGAAGGGCUUAGGCCCAGCUGUCUUGGAGCAAAACAUCUGUUGUGGGAUGUGGCGGCAGAGGAGGGCAAGGCCGAAGGAGCAGACAGCACCGCUUCUUGGGGAGUUGUGAAGGCAUCAUGCGGAGGGCCGAGCUUAGCAGCCAAGUGGAGGACAGCACCCUCCAUGCCUGGAUUCGUUACUCGCUCGUUCUCGAUGUUGAGCUGCUGGCAUAUUGCAGCACAACUAGAGAUGUACGGAUGCCCCCAUCUUGAUCUUACAGAAUCAGAGGUGCAGCCGCAAGAAAGGUCUGUAAGUUAUCUAUUUCGGCUUUAUUUAAAAGAUGGGAUGGGGUGGGGUGGACAGG
rnacentral:lncRNA from 10 species